CUGUGACUCCUACGGGAGGCAGCAGUGGGGAAUAUUGCACAAGUGGGGGAAACCCUGAUGCAGCCAUGCCGCGUGUGUGAAGAAGGCCUUCGGGUUGUAAAGCACUUUCAGUAGGGAGGAAGGUAGUGUAGUUAACACCUGCAUUAUUUGACGUUACCUACAGAAGAAGCACCGGCUAACUCCGUGCCAGCAGCCGCGGUAAUACGGAGGGUGCGAGCGUUAAUCGGAAUUACUGGGCGUAAAGCGCAUGCAGGCGGCCUGUUAAGUCAGAUGUGAAAGCCCCGGGGCUUAACCUCGGAAUUGCAUUUGAAACUGGCAGGCUAGAGUCUUGUAGAGGGGGUAGAAUUUCAGGUGUAGCGGUGAAAUGCGUAGAGAUCUGAAGGAAUACCAGUGGCGAAGGCGGCCCCCUGGACAAAGACUGACGCUCAGAUGCGAAAGCGUGGGGAGCAAACAGGAUUAGAUACCCUGGUAG
rnacentral:rRNA from 1 species